GCUGGAUUCAGAGCUUGGCCCUGCAUGAGGCUUUCAGCACCCUUGGGCCUAAAUCUUCAUCCCUGUUUGCAGUCUCAGAAGAAAGCAAGCUUCUCUUUUCCACUUCCAUCAAAGACCUCAGAAUUGAGUCUCAUUGUUUGGUUGGAUCAUGUGUCCAUCUCUGGUACAGGAAGAUCAUGAGUUGGAUCAUGAGUCCAUUUCUGGCAUAUGAAGAAGGUUUUGGGUACCCCCAAGUGAUAGGGACUGAGAGUGGAGAGGAGUGAUUCUCAACAGGGGUGCAAUAAUCAGAAGAAGGGGGCUUGGAUGCUAAUCAAGAUGGAAGUCAUGAGUUGUAUGCUGGAAACAGUGGAUGUCCUCUACAUGUCCUCCUUGUCCUGGAGGAGGUAUAGUUCACUUGUGGGCAUACCCACAAUGAGGUAAAAUGACAACUCAAGAUGUUGACUGAAAUUAAAGAUAUCUCUGUGAUAGAUGUGACAAGGUUCUAUGUAACAAAUGCCACAAGAAGUACCACUGUAAGAGCUCAAAGAGGAAGAAGUGCCUGGACUAGGGUAACUGGGAGCACCUUGUGGAAGAAUUUGACAGGAGGAGAGAGGACGUGGUGAAGGAUGAGGGAGAACCAGAAGGAAAAGACUCAACUCAGCUGUACUUCUCACCACGUGGUAAAGGAUGGACCAAAGGCUGGGAGCAACUGAGAGUGUCUGGAGAAAGGGUACCUCCCAGAACACAGAUGUUUUUUCACUCCACCAACAUUUAUUGAGCAUCUAGUAUGUGUUGAUCUCUAUGAUGGGAGCUGGGAAGACACAGCUGUGAAGAAGGGCAAGCAUCUCUGUGGACCUAUUUCCUAGUAGGAUGACAAGAAGGCAGACAUUGUCUCAAACCAGGGCAUGACUCUGCCACAA